rnacentral:rRNA from 1 species
AUACGUAGGUGGCAAGCGUUGUCCGGAAUUACUGGGUGUAAAGGGAGCGUAGGCGGGUGUGUAAGUUGAAUGUGAAAUCUAUGGGCUCAACCCAUAGACUGCGUUCAAAACUGCACAUCUUGAGUGAGGUAGAGGUAAGCGGAAUUCCCGGUGUAGCGGUGGAAUGCGUAGAUAUCGGGAGGAACACCAGUGGCGAAGGCGGCUUACUGGGCCUUAACUGACGCUGAGGCUCGAAAGCGUGGGUAGCAAACAGGAUUAGAUACCCUGGUAGUCCACGCCGUAAACGAUGAUUACUAGGUGUGGGGGGACUGACCCCUUCCGUGCCGGAGUUAACACAAUAAGUAAUCCACCUGGGGAGUACGACCGCAAGGUUGAA